UUUGUUUGGUUGUUGUUGUUGUUGCUGCUGCUGCUGCUGCUACUGCUGCUGCUGCUACCACUGCUGCUACCACUGCUGCUUCUGUUGCCAUCUUGAUGUUAGGUGAGCAUCAGAUCAUGCAGACAUUAGAUUUGUCCUGUUGUCGACUUCUCAAUUUUCUCCCGGACCUUCCGAGGCUGAUUAACGAAACGCCACUAACAUACUAAUGCCGUCGCUGUAGCUGUGUGUCACCAACAUCGACGUACCUUACCAUCUUUCAGAAAACAUCAGAAAAAAAAAACAGAGCUUGUCAAGUAGUGACAGGACUGAGUAAAACCAAUUAUACUCUGACCACUCAAAUUUCUGACCUUACUGUAAUUAGAAAGGCAAGAUUGUUAGAGCACAGAACAAAAGGCUCUUUAGAUUCUGAGAUCAAACAAUCUGAAAUGAACUUUACUUUCCAUACUUCUGUGUCAAUAAAAUAAAGUAUCUGGUUGGACUCAUACCUACACAAGAAAUAAUUGUUAAUUUUAAUAAUUAGG